rnacentral:rRNA from 1 species
CUAACAAGGAUUCCCCUAGUAACGGCGAAUGAAGCGGGAAGAGCUCAAAUUUGUAAUCUGGCGGUCUCCGGCCGUCCGAGUUGUAGUCUGGAGAAGCGUCUUCCGUGCCGGACCGUGUACAAGUCCCUUGGAACAGGGCGUCGUAGAGGGUGAGAAUCCCGUCUCUGACACGGACUGCCGGUGCUCUGUGAUGCGCUCUCGAAGAGUCGAGUUGUUUGGGAAUGCAGCUCAAAAUGGGUGGUAAAUUCCAUCUAAAGCUAAAUAUUGGCGAAAGACCGAUAGCGAACAAGUACCGUGAGGGAAAGAUGAAAAGCACUUUGGAAAGAGAGUUAAACAGUACGUGAAAUUGUUGAAAGGGAAACGCUUGAAGUCAGUCGCGUCUUCCGAGACUCAGCCGGGUCUUUUGACCCGGUGUACUUCUCGGUGUCGACGGGCCAGCAUCGAUUUUGACUGUCGGAGAAAGGCUCAGGGAACGUGGCACCUUCGGGUUGUGUUAUAGCCCUCUGUCGUAUGCGACGGUCGGGAUCGAGGACCGCAGCGUGCCCUUCACCGGGCCGGGGUUCGCCCACGUAACGCGCUUAGGAUGCUGGCGU